GUGCUUGCUUUGGCAGCACAUACACUAAAAGUGGAACGAUACAGAGAAGAUUAGCAUGGCCCCUGUGCAAAGAUGAAAGGCAAAUUCAUGAAGCAUUCCAUAUUUUU